AAUGAACGCUUGCGGCGUGCCUAACACAUGCAAGUCGAACGAGAACGGUCCUUCGGGGCUUAGUAGAGUGGCGAACGGGUGAGUAACGCGUAAAAAUCUACCUUUUAGUGAGGAAUACCUUCGAGAAAUUGAAGUUAAUACCGCAUACGUCCUACGGGAUAAAGACGGCCUCUUGCUGUCGCUAAAAGAUGAGUUUGCGUACUAUUAGCUAGUUGGUGGGGUAAAAGCCUACCAAGGCGAUGAUGGUUAGCCGGCCUGAGAGGGUGACCGGCCACAUUGGGACUGAGAUACGGCCCAG
rnacentral:rRNA from 1 species